rnacentral:rRNA from 1 species
UACGGAAGGCAGCAGUGGGGAAUAUUGCACAAUGGGCGAAAGCCUGAUGCAGCUAUGCCGCGUGUAUGAAGAAGGCCUUAGGGUUGUAAAGUACUUUCAUCGGGGAGGAAAAACAAAACUAAUAAUUUUAUUUCUUGACGUUACCCGAAAAAGAAGCACCGGCUAACUCCGUGCCAGCAGCCGCGGUAAUACGGAGGGUGCUAGCGUUAAUCAGAAUUACUGGGCGUAAAAGAGCACGUAGGUGGUUUUUUUAAAGUCAGAUGUGAAAUCCCUGGGCUUAACCUAGGAACUGCAUUUUGAAACUGAAAUACUAGAGUAUCGUAGAGGGAGGUAGAAUUCUAGGUGUAGCGGUGAAAUGCGUAGAUAUCUGGAGGAAUACCUGUGGCGAAAGCGGCCUCCUAAACGAAUACUGACACUGAGGGUGCGAAAAGCGUGGGGAGCAAACAGGGAUUAGAUACC